rnacentral:rRNA from 1 species
CCUGAGAAACCCAAAAGAUCGAAUGGGGAGAUUCAUCGUACGGCCCGAGCUGGCUUCCGUGCGGCACGCGAUGACGGGGACCUCGGUCUCGCGUCACGCUGCCGCCGCGGCAUGUCCGGCGGGGUCGGCGUGCACUUCUCCCCUAGUAGGACGUCGCGACCCGUUGGGUGUCGGAUCAAUGGCCGUUCGGUCGCCUGUCUGGCUCGCGAGAGCCAAGCAGACCGUCCGGUCGAACGUCCGACUGCCCGGCGGUAUCGAACGUUGAAAACUGGUACUGGGCCGCAUUCAGUGCGUUCCUGGCUCGUCGGCAGGCUCGUCUCGCUCGGAUUUACGGACCUAGCGCCGUUGCCGGGCGCUUGCCGCGGCCGUUAGUCGACGAUGUCCUCGGACUGGCUCUUACCGGUCGGCGACGCUACUGCUUUGGGUACUUUC